CUCCUCACUGGUGCGUCAGAGCUCCUCCUCUGAAUGUGUCCAAACCAUAUGAGUCUUGAUUCCCUCAUCUUGUCAUCUAUGGGGGACACGCCCACCUUCUGUCAAAUAACUAUAUUCCUAAUCUUAUCCAUCCUUGUAUGCCUGCACAUCCACCUCAACAUCCUUAUCUGUGCUACUUUCAUUUUCUAGAUGUGUGUGUUCUUAACCGGCCAACACUCGGUUCCAUAAAGUAUGGCUGACCUAACCACUGCUCGGUAAAACUUACCUUUUAGUAACAACGGCACUUUCUUGUUACACAGAACUCUCGACGCUAACCUCCACUUCAACCAACCUACUCCUAUGCGGUGUGUGACAUUCUCGUCGAUCUCCCCGAUCCCCUGAAU
rnacentral:lncRNA from 1 species